rnacentral:rRNA from 1 species
AGUGAACGCUGGCGGUAGGCCUAACACAUGCAAGUCGAACGGCAGCACAGUAAGAGCUUGCUCUUACGGGUGGCGAGUGGCGGACGGGUGAGGAAUACAUCGGAAUCUACUUUUUCGUGGGGGAUAACGUAGGGAAACUUACGCUAAUACCGCAUACUACCUACGGGUGAAAGCAGGGGAUCUUCGGACCUUGCGUGAUUGAAUGAGCCGAUGUCGGAUUAGCUAGUUGGCGGGGUAAAGGCCCACCAAGGCGACGAUCCGUAGCUGGUCUGAGAGGAUGAUCAGCCACACUGGAACUGAAACACGGUCCAGACUCCUACGGGAGGCAGCAGUGGGGAAUAUUGGACAAUGGGCGCAAGCCUGAUCCAGCCAUACCGCGUGGGUGAAGAAGGCCUUCGGGUUGUAAAGCCCUUUUGUUGGGAAAGAAAAGCAGCAGGUUAAUACCCCGCUGUUCUGACGGUACCCAAAGAAUAAGCACCGGCUAACUUCGUG